rnacentral:rRNA from 1 species
UAGGGAAUCUUGCGCAAUGGGCGAAAGCCUGACGCAGCAACGCCGCGUGGGGGAUGAAGGCCUUCGGGUUGUAAACUCCUUUUAGUGGGAACGAAAUUGACGGUACCCACAGAAAAAGCCCCGGCUAACUACGUGCCAGCAGCCGCGGUGAUACGUAGGGGGCGAGCGUUGUCCGGAUUCACUGGGCGUAAAGAGCUCGUAGGUGGCUUAGUAAGUCGGCGUGUUAAAUCUCCAGGCUUAACCUGGAGUCGCACCCGAUACUGCUAUAGCUAGAGUCCGGUAGGGGACCAUGGAAUUCCUGGUGUAGCGGUGAAAUGCGCAGAUAUCAGGAGGAACACCAGUAGCGAAGACGGUGGUCUGGGCCGGUACUGACACUGAGGAGCGAAAGCGUGGGGAGCGAACAGG